rnacentral:rRNA from 1 species
UACGGAGGGUGCAAGCGUUAUCCGGAUUCACUGGGUUUAAAGGGUGCGUAGGAGGGCAGGUAAGUCAGUGGUGAAAUCUCCAAACUUAACUUGGAACUGCCGUUGAUACUAUCUGUCUUGAAUAUUGUGGAGGUGAGCGGAAUAUGUCAUGUAGCGGUGAAAUGCUUAGAUAUGACAUAGAACACCAAUUGCGAAGGCAGCUCGCUACUCAAUUUAUUGACUCUGAGGCACGAAAGCGUGGGGAUCAAACAGG